GUGCCAGCCGCCGCGGUAAUACGGAGGGUGCAAGCGUUAAUCGGAAUUACUGGGCGUAAAGCGCACGCAGGCGGUCUGUCAAGUCGGAUGUGAAAUCCCCGGGCUCAACCUGGGAACUGCAUUCGAAACUGGCAGGCUAGAGUCUUGUAGAGGGGGGUAGAAUUCCAGGUGUAGCGGUGAAAUGCGUAGAGAUCUGGAGGAAUACCGGUGGCGAAGGCGGCCCCCUGGACAAAGACUGACGCUCAGGUGCGAAAGCGUGGGGAGCAAACAGGAUUAGAUACCCUGGUAGUCCACGCCGUAAACGAUGUCGACUUGGAGGUUGUGCCCUUGAGGCGUGGCUUCCGGAGCUAACGCGUUAAGUCGACCGCCUGGGGAGUACGGCCGCAAGGUUAAAACUCAAAUGAAUUGACGGGGGCCCGCACAAGCGGUGGAGCAUGUGGUUUAAUUCGAUGCAACGCGAAGAACCUUACCUACUCUUGACAUCCAGAGAACUUAGCAGAGAUGCUUUGGUGCCUUCGGGAACUCUGAGACAGGUGCUGCAUGGCUGUCGUCAGCUCGUGUUGUGAAAUGUUGGGUUAAGUCCCGCAACGAGCGCAACCCUUAUCCUUUGUUGCCAGCGGUUAGGCCGGGAACUCAAAGGAGACUGCCAGUGAUAAACUGGAGGAAGGUGGGGAUGACGUCAAGUCAUCAUGGCC
rnacentral:rRNA from 1 species